rnacentral:rRNA from 1 species
UAAAUAACAAUGCGGGGCCCUUUGGGUCUUGCAAUUGGAAUGAGAACAAUUUAAAUCCCUUAUCGAGUAACAAUUGGAGGGCAAGUCUGGUGCCAGCAGCCGCGGUAAUUCCAGCUCCAAUAGCGUAUAUUAAAGUUGUUGCAGUUAAAAAGCUCGUAGUUGAACCUUUGGGACUGCCUGUGGGUUCCGCGCAAGCGGUGACUCACUGUGUAGGCCUACUUUUGAGGGUCGGGCCUUUGGCUCGCCUCCCUCGGGUUACUGUGAAGAAAUUAGAGUGUUUAAAGCAGGCUUACGCUUGAAUACAUCAGCAUGGAAUAACAAGCAAGACUAGAGUCUUCUUGUUGGUUUGGAGAUUAGAGUAAUGAUUAAUAGGGCCAGUUGGGGGCAUUAGUAUUCAGUAGUCAGAGGUGAAAUUCUUGGAUUUACUGAAGACUAACUAGUGCGAAAGCAUUUGCCAAGGAUGUUUUCAUUAAUCAAGAACGAAAGUUAGGGGAUCGAAGACGAUCAGAUACCGUCGUAGUCUUAACUAUAAACGAUGCCGACUACGGAUCGGCAGAAGUCGUUAGCGACUCUGUCGGCACGUUGUGAGAAAUCAAAGUUUUUGGGUUCUGGGGGAGUAUGGUCGCAAGGCUGAAACUUAAAGGAAUUGACGGAAGGGCACCACCAGGAGUGGAGCCUGCGGCUUAAUUUGACUCAACACGGGAAAACUCACCAGGUCCGGACAUAGUAAGGAUUGACAGAUUGAGAGCUCUUUCUUGAUUCUGUGGGUGGUGGUGCAUGGCCGUUCUUAGUUGGUGGAGUGAUUUGUCUGGUUAAUUCCGAUAACGAACGAGACCUUGACCUGCUAACUAGUUACCUGUACGUGAGUAUGGGAUACUUCUUAGAGGGACUGACUAUGGUUAAUAGUCGGAAGUUCGAGGCAAUAACAGGUCUGUGAUGCCCUUAGAUGUUCUGGGCUGCACGCGCGCUACACUGACAAAGCCAGCGAGUAUACCUUGGCCGAGAGGCCUGGGAAAUCUUGUGAAACUUUGUCGUGCUGGGGAUAGAUCAUUGCAAUUAUUGGUCUUGAACGAGGAAUUCCUAGUAAGCGCAAGUCAUCAGCUUGCGUUGAUUACGUCCCUGCCCUUUGUACACACCGCCCGUCGCUACUACCGAUUGAAUGGCUUAGUGAGGC